rnacentral:rRNA from 1 species
GUGAGGAAUAUUGGACAAUGGGCGCAAGCCUGAUCCAGCCAUGCCGCGUGCAGGAAGACGCAUCUAUGGUGUGUAAACUGCUUUUGUACGGGAAGAAACACUCCCUCGUGAGGGAGCUUGACGGUACCGUAAGAAUAAGGAUCGGCUAACUCCGUGCCAGCAGCCGCGGUAAUACGGAGGAUCCAAGCGUUAUCCGGAAUCAUUGGGUUUAAAGGGUCCGUAGGCGGUUUAAUAAGUCAGUGGUUAAAGACCAUCGCUCAACGAUGGAACGGCCAUUGAUACUGUUAGACUUGAAUUACAAGGAAGUAACUAGAAUAUGUAGUGUAGCGGUGAAAUGCUUAGAUAUUACAUGGAAUACCAAUUGCGAAGGCAGGUUACUACUUGUGGAUUGACGCUGAUGGACGAAAGCGUGGGGAGCGAACAGGAUUAGAAACCCGUGUAGUCC